GACGAACGCUGGCGGCGUGCUUAACACAUGCAAGUCGAACGGAAAGGCCUGCUUUCCCUUGUGGAUUGCGGGUACUCGAGUGGCGAACGGGUGAGUAACACGUGAGUGAUCUGCCCCCAACUUGGGUAUAAGCCUGGGAAACUGGGUCUAAUUCCCGAUAGGACUGCAGGGUGGUGCCUGUGGUGGAAAACGAUUUUCUAGUGGUUGGGGAUGAGCUCGCGGCCUAUCAGCUUGUUGGUGGGGUAAUGGCCUACCAAGGCGGCGACGGGUAGCCGGCCUGAGAGGGUGGACGGCCACAUUGGGACUGAGCUACGGCCCAGACUCCUACGGGAGGCAGCAGUGGGGAAUAUUGCCCAAUGGGCGGAAGCCUGAUGCAGCGACGCCGCGUGGGGGAUGACGGCCUUCGGGUUGUAAACUCCUUUCGACCGCGAGGAAGCCACCUGGUUGGAAGGGUGGUGACGGUAGUGGUAGAAGAAGCACCGGCUAACUACGUG
rnacentral:rRNA from 1 species